UACGGAGGGGGCUAGCGUUGUUCGGAAUUACUGGGCGUAAAGCGCACGUAGGCGGCUUUGCAAGUUAGAGGUGAAAUCCCGGGGCUCAACCCCCGGAACUGCAUUCGAUACUGCUGCGCUAGAGUACUGGAGAGGAGAUUGGAAUUACGGUGUAGCAGUGAAAUGCGUAGAUAUCGUAAGGAAGACCAGUGGCGAAGGCGGAGUCUCGGACAGUACUGACACUGAGGCACGAAGGCCAGGGGAGCAAACGGG
rnacentral:rRNA from 1 species